CCCCGAAUAGCUCAGCUGGAAGAGCGUUCGGCUGUAACUGAUUUUCUGACACCGAAAGGUCACUUGUUCGAUCCAGGUUUCGGGGA
rnacentral:tRNA from 1 species